CUGGGAUUUGCAGAGUCCUAUUAAGAUGUGCCAAGAAUCUCCUUAAGUCCUGCUUGGCAGAAACCUAGAGCUGCCUAAGGAUCUUUCCAGUAAAUAGGUUGUGUAAAAAUAUUGGAGAAGAAUCUAAUACUGAAAAAAUCAGCUUAUUACAGCUUUUGCUUUAGGGUCGAUGUUUUUUUGUUGUUGUUUUUUUUUUUCUAAUUCUUUUUUUCUUUUUUUUCCCUGGUGACUCCCCUUGGUGAAUAUGUGACUGAGAAAGAAGCAUGAGCUCAAACUGUGACUAGACCUAAUCUUUCCAAGGAGCAGAUGGCCACGGCUUUGCCUCCUCCCUCCUCUGCACCAAAUGGAGUUUGGGGACAACGUUUGGAGAUGCUGCAAUUUAAAGCAGAAGACUGUUAUUUCACAUUUACAAUGUGAUUUUCAGUAGCAUAACUCUGGAAUUGAGCAGAUUCUAGAGUACUUCAGAUGCCAAAUGACUUUCCAGGAGUCAGAAAACAAAGCAGCAGCUGUGUUGCCACAACUACAGCACAACUGGUACUUUGGAAAAGCCACUGGUACCAAAGAACCUGCCUUUGUUAAGAAGAUUUUAAAACUCACCUCUUGAGUCUCUCAACAUAUGGUGCUCAGAAGAGCUUUAAAGGUUAAGAGCUACCCAAACAAAAUAUUCACUGUCCAGUAGCCCUGGAGCUCAUUACCCUUAAGUACUGCAGUGUUUAUAGGCAUGCUGAGGAGGCAAAGGAGAUGAAAUGUACUUCUGCCUUCAAAAGGGGAAUUAAUGUAUUACCAUUCAUUCCUUUUAUAGAUAAUAUUGCUAUUUAGGAAGUGCUAAAGUACAUGAUGUCUUUACUGAUUAAAUUUCCUGUGUAAGCAAGAUGUUCAUAAAGUUACAUAACUGCAUUUUUCUUCCUACUUCAUUGCUGGCAGCUUCAGUACAGGCUUCUCAAGUAUUGUAGGCUUUGCUCUGUCAUCACCUCUGAGAGAUCUGAUAGCAAGGAGAAAAGAGCAGAGGGAGAGCAGGGGAAUUGCAAAUUGAGAAGAUGGAAUUCCAGAUUCUGCAGAUGAGUCUUUUUGUUAUCAUAUUUCAGCUGAAAGAACUGCUCUGCUGUAGAACUGAUACGGUAUGUACUGUGUUUAAUCUGACUAUCUCAGCUCAGAACCUGGAAGGAUGAGUAUAUUCUCAAGAUGGAUACUUCAGGAGUCUUCUAACCAAUGUGAAUCACUUAGUCUUUACCAUGAAGGGGACAGGUUUCUUCCUGCAAAAUUUCUUGCUAAAUUGGACUGAAGUAAAUGAACCAACAGAUAUUCCAUGCUGAGUGUGGAAGUCCUGAGCAGGCAUUUACAAAUAAAACAUAUGAUUAUGCCCAGUGCUUCAUUUGAAGUUGUGUAUUUAUUUAGCUGAGAAGUCCCUUUAGGCAAACA
ensembl:lncRNA